rnacentral:rRNA from 1 species
AUGAACACGGUACGGGUAUUGGUCUCGUGUGCUGCAAACUUUGGGUGGAAAUUGCACCAGUUAGAUGUCAAGAAUGCCUUCUUACAUGGUGACUUGAAAGAAGAGGUAUACAUGGAGAUACCGCCAGGUUUUGGCACAGAACAGACUACGGGGAAGGUAUGCAGGCUGAAGAAAUCCUUGUAUGGUCUGAAGCAAUCGCCGAGGGCAUGGUUUGAUAGGUUCAGACGAGCUGUUUGGAAUAUGGGGUAUGGCCAAUGUAAUGGUGACCACACGGUGUUUUAUAGACACACUAAUAAGAAGAUCACCAUUGUUGCAGUGUAUGUUGAUGAUAUCAUCAUCACUGGAGAUGAUGAGGAGGAAAUAAAGAGAGUGAAGGGGUGUCUGAGCAAGGAGUUUGAGGUAAAAGACUUAGGAAAUCUAAAGUACUUCCUUGGCAUAGAAGUGGCCCGGACAGAGAAGGGAAUAUCUUUGUGCCAACGAAAAUACACCUUGGAUCUUUUGAGUGACAUGGGCAUGAUGGGAUGUCGUGCAGCCCCUACUCCAAUUGAACAAAAUCAUCAAGUAACAGCACAAUCAGGUGAGCUAGUGAAUAAGGAAGAUUAUCAGAAGCUGGUUGGGAGGUUAUUGUACUUGUGUCAUACCAGGCCUGACAUUACGUAUGCCGUGGGGGUGGUGAGCAGAUACAUGCAUGAACCAAGGAGAGGGCAUCUUGAUAUUGUUCACAGAAUCCUGAGAUACUUGAAGGGGACUCCGGGUAAAGGGUUGUGGUUUGCGAAGAGUGGACAUCUUGAGGUGGAUGGCUAUAGUGACUCUGAUUGGGCUAGCUGUCAAGAUGAUAGACGAUCAACUUCAGGUAACUGUGUGUUUGUGGGAGGAAAUUUGGUGUCAUGGAGAAGCAAGAAACAGAAUGUUGUGUCUAGAUCAACAGCAGAAGCUGAAUAUAGAGCAUUAUCUCAAGGGUUGUGUGAUAUGCUCUGGGUGAAGCACCUACUAUGCGAGUUGAAACUCUUGAGGAAGGGACCCUUAAGGGUGUGGUGUGACAAUCAGUCAGCUAUAGCCAUUGCUAAUAACCCAGUUCAACAUGAUAGGACGAAGCAUGUGGAAAUUGGUCGCUUCUUCAUUAAAGAGAAACUUGAUGCUGGGAUCAUCAGCCUUACUCAUGUCAGCUCUGGGCAGCAGUUUGCAGAUUGCUUGACAAAGGGACUGGGAACAAAGGACUGUAACUUGGCGUGUGACAAGAUGGGGAUGAUAGAUAUCUACCACCCAUCUUGA